rnacentral:rRNA from 1 species
AGAGUUUGAUCCUUUCUCGGGAUGAACGCUGGGGGCGUGCUUAACACAUGCAAGUCGAACGGAGCGCCGAGAGACGGACUAUUUCGGUAGGAAGCGUGCGGAGGCUUAGUGGCGGACGGGUGAGUAACGCGUGGAUAACCUGCCGCAUGCCGGGGGAUAACAGCUGGAAACAGGUGCUAAUACCGCAUAUGCCCGCAGUGCCGCAUGGCACGGCGGGGAAAACUCCGGUGGUAUGCGAUGGGUCCGCGUCUGAUUAGGGCAGUUGGCGGGGUAACGGGCCCCACCAAACCGACGAUCAGUAGCCGGCCUGAGAGGGCGGACGGCCACACUGGGACUGAGACACGGCCCAGACUCCUGCGGGAGGCAGCAGUGGGGGAAUAUUGCACAAUGGGGGAAACCCUGAUGCAGCGACGCCGCGUGAAGGAAGAAGUAUCUCGGUAUGUAAACUUCUAUCAGCAGGGAAGAAAACAGACGGUACCUGACUAAGAAGCCCCGGCUAACUACGUGCCAGCAGCCGCGGUAAUACGUAGGGGGCAAGCGUUAUCCGGAUUUACUGGGUGUAAAGGGGGCGCAGACGGCCAUGGCAAGCCCGGUGUGAAAGGCAGGGGCAUAACCCCUGGACUGCACUGGGAACUGUCAGGCUGGAGUGCCGGAGGGGUAAGCGGAAUUCCUGGUGUAGCGGUGAAAUGCGUAGAUAUCAGGAGGAACACCGGCGGCGAAGGCGGCUUACUGGACGGCAACUGACGUUGAGGCCCGAAAGCGUGGGGAGCGAACAGGAUUAGAUACCCUGGUAGUCCACGCCGUAAACGAUG